rnacentral:rRNA from 1 species
UGCCCUACGGGACGCAGCAGUGGGGAAUAUUGCACAAUGGGGGAAACCCUGAUGCAGCGACGCCGCGUGAGCGAUGAAGUAUUUCGGUAUGUAAAGCUCUCUCAGCAGGGAAGAAAAUGACGGUACCUGACUAAGAAGCCCCGGCUAACUACGUGCCAGCAGCCGCGGUAAUACGUAGGGGGCAAGCGUUAUCCGGAUUUACUGGGUGUAAAGGGAGCGUAGACGGACCUGCAAGCCAGAUGUGAAAGCCCGGGGCUCAACCACGGGACUGCAUUUGGAACUGGAAGGCUAGAGAGUCGGAGAGG